rnacentral:rRNA from 1 species
UACAGAGGGUGCGAGCGUUGUCCGGAAUCACUGGGCGUAAAGGGCGCGUAGGCGGUCUCUUAAGCGUGUGGUGAAAGCCCGGGGCUCAACUCCGGGUCGGCCGUGCGAACUGGGGGACUGGAGCUUGUCAGAGGCAGGCGGAAUUCCGGGUGUGAGCGGUGGAAUGCGUAGAGAUCCGGAAGAACACCGGUGGCGAAGGCGGCCUGCUGGGACAGUGCUGACGCUGAGGCGCGACAGCGUGGGGGAGCAAACAGG